UACGUAGGGGGCAAGCGUUGUCCGGAUUUAUUGGGCGUAAAGAGCGUGUAGGCGGCCAUGCAGGUCCGUUGUGAAAACUCGAGGCUCAACCUCGAGACGCCGGUGGAAACCGUAUGGCUAGAGUCCGGAAGAGGAGAGUGGAAUUCCUGGUGUAGCGGUGAAAUGCGCAGAUAUCAGGAAGAACACCCGUGGCGAAGGCGGCUCUCUGGGACGUGACUGACGCUGAGACGCGAAAGCGUGGGGAGCGAACAGG
rnacentral:rRNA from 1 species